rnacentral:rRNA from 1 species
GAUGAACGCUGGCGGCGUGCCUAAUACAUGCAAGUCGAGCGAACAGAUGAGGAGCUUGCUCCUCUGACGUUAGCGGCGGACGGGUGAGUAACACGUGGAUAACCUACCUAUAAGACUGGGAUAACUUCGGGAAACCGGAGCUAAUACCGGAUAAUAUAUUGAACCGCAUGGUUCAAUAGUGAAAGACGGUUUUGCUGUCACUUAUAGAUGGAUCCGCGCCGCAUUAGCUAGUUGGUACGGUAACGGCUUACCAAGGCGACGCUGCGUAGCCGACCUGGGAGGGUGAUCAGCCACAAUAGAACUGAGACACGGUCCAGACUCCUACGGGAGGCAGCAGUAGGGAAUCUUCCGCAAUGGGCGAAAGCCUGACGGAGCAACGCCGCGUGAGUGAUGAAGGUCUUCGGAUCGUAAAACUCUGUUAUGAGGGAAGAACAACUGUGUAAGUAACUAUGCACGUCUUGACGGUACCUAAUCAGAAAGCCACGGCUAACUACGUG